GGACGGAACCGGCGUGUGGCGCUUCUUUAACUUGUUUGUAGCGGUUCUGCGCGUGCGCGCGCCCCCGCGGCUCGAGGGCGGUGGCUGGGCCGCUGGCAGUGCUGCGGAGACAGGGCGGUGGCUCCGGAGGCGGCAGGACAGUCAGGGCAGGCGUGAGAGCCCUCGGAACAGCCCGGCAGUGAAUUUCGUUCCUAUUUAUCCUGUGUGAAUCCUGUUGUAAUGGGACGUGCAAGCGGAGAAGUGAAGGCGGCACAUCCGGGCCCUUACCACCUGUGACGCUACGAUGAGGAAACGGCUCGUCAGUUGGCAGAAGGAGCUCAUCUCUCCUUUCAGGGCCUCCAGGGGAUCUGCUUUUGGCAGCUGGCUCUUUGGGCAAGACUGACGUUAUUUUCUCAGUGGCUUCUGUUCAAAACCACCCAAAGGAACCCAUCUUUCUCCUACUGUCAUUGGCAUAACAUUACAAGAACCAAUGUGGUAGCUUAUGUGAGUGUGUCCUGUGCUUUUAAAGUGCAUUUGUCACUUUGUCCCUGAGGGUUUGAGAAAUUCUUUAGAAGAAACAGAGACAGAAGAAGCAGCAACUCCAAGAAAAGGUCUUUCGAUGCCUGGUGUCCACCCUGCUCCUAAUGGGCAUCGUCCUCUGUGCUGUGAGCAGGGGCCCAGCGGGGGCUGGGCAUGGCGGGCCAGGAGGGGCCUCUUCAGUGCUGGGGAGACACUGCCAGGGUCUUGAAGAGCAGUGUCGACGUGCAGUUUGCCGAUGUAGCUGGUUGUGAAGAGGCCAAGUUGGAGAUUAUAGAGUGAAUUUCCUGAAGAAUCCCCAGGAGUGUCACGACGUAGGAGCCAAGAUUUCAAAGGAAGCGAGGCCAGGGGCACUUGGGAAGCCAGAGCAAGCAGGAGAGAGCACUGAACCAGACGCUCUUGGAGAUGGAUGUUCCGACUUUUCCUCAGAGUGAUUCGAGAUUGGUGCAACGUCUGCAUGGUGAUGGCAGUGUUCCGACCUGGACACUUUCAGUGGUCGCGUGGCAAGCUUCCAUCUUCAUUUUGGGGCUGCCCAGAGUACCCUGGAUUUGGUUAUUCAUUAGGACUCCCAGGACCCCAUGUGUAGCUGUACCCAUGACCAUGACCGGUGACAGACACAGCAGAAUCUGUGGAGGGGAGACUCUGGUCCAGGGGGGCUGGCUGCAGCUUCCGUGAGGAGGUGCCGACUUGCCUGGCAUCGAGCUGUGACGACAUGCGGGCGUGCGGUUGACCACGGUUUCCAGUGGGGGCUGGUCCUGUGGCACUCUGCCCAGUAUGUACCAGAAUUCCAGCCUCCCAGGUGGAAGGCAGGUGUGCAGCAAACCCACACAAAAACACUGUUAUGUUUGCACAGACAGUUUAGGCAUAGGGAGCCCCUCUUAUCAGGAGCAGGGGAGACCCUCCCCCAAACUCAGGUCCCAGACUCAGUCAGCUGUAAGAGCUUGUGAGGAUAACUUGUUAGGCUUACUGUGUUAGACUCUUUCUGCACAGGCCAAGGCAUUUCCAAAAGCUUUUGUUAUACUUCAUAUCCAACGGUGAUUCUAAUUAGAUUAUUACUCUGUCCUGAUACAUCGAGGGGCUAAUGGAAGAGAACAUUUGGGGGAAAGAGGGUGGGAACACCACCACUUUCUCUGUUGGGCUCCCCUGUUCUCUGCAGCCCUGUCUGCCCUUGACCAUUCUAGCUCCUGGGCCCUCUGUCUCUUUCUCUAAACAGAUAAAUAAACUUAAAAAAAAAAAGCUAAUUGUACCUGACCUUUGGGAUACUUCUGUCGUUGCUCCCUGGGUCCAGUCAGAUAACUGAGUGUGAGGCACCGGUACAGCAGGGACGGUGCCCCGAGUCCCAGGCUGUCCUUGUGGGUCAGCAGAGUGGCUCCUGAUGACCCUGCUCUGGCUCGCUGUAUGUCUCUUUCUUUGUUAGGGCCCUUGGCAUCAAGGGCAGAUCCUCUGUCUUCAAAGUCCACCCCUGCCCACUGAAGCUGGGCGGGGCCUUCCUAAGGACGCCUCGGCACGGAGGCUCAUGCCGCUCACUUUGGGCUUCAUGGGGGCCUGUUGGCCAGGCCGGUGUUGCUGCCUCGGCGUGUCACCUGUGAUUGGUGGGUGGCUUCUGGCUGUACUGUCCAGUCCUGGCAGGUGCCCACCUUUGUCUUUGGAACUUUGUUGAGAGACAUCCAAGACCUCAGAGAUGAAUAGCCCCAGAGCUGGUUUGUACCCAUCUGAAGUUCUAGUUUUGUACAGUUUCGGCUCGGUAAGUUUUUGCUGCAGAGACCUCCCUAGUGUGUGAGCACAGACCCCUACCAUCAGUAGUUGUGCUGCAUUGUACGGUCUUGGGCUAGAGCUCCCAACCUGGGGGCUUCCCUUGCUUUUCUGUUUCCUUUGUAAUUAGAACCCAAGGUCCUGUACUACGAAACUUGUUUCCCUACCAGGGUGGUAAGCCCUGGGAGUUUAGGGUUUUCCGUGGGGCUUUCUCUCUAGUCAUCCCCUCCUGAGCAGCCCUUGGGAGGGCUAGUGAUCACUGUGAUUACUGUGAUGAGCCUCGGGCCGCUGCCCCUGCCACCCCCGGAGCAUUCUGCCGUGAGCCUUGCCCCUCCCACCGUGGUGCCGCUGUCUGCCAUCUCCCUGUGCUCUGCCCGCUGCUGGCCGAGGGCUGGGUCAGGUCACACAGGGGAGUGUGUGUUUGGUGGCUGCAGGGUGAUGAGUGAGGCGUUCUCACCUGUCCAGGCUGGUCUGUUUCCUGCAAAGAAUGUGCUUUCUGUUCUUUCUCCCCGUGACUCCCAUGUCCAUUUACACACCAAAGUUAAGAAACUUGAAUACGCUUCCCAGACUCUAGUCUUCCCAGAUUUACAUUAGAGGCUGCCCUUCAGCACGGGUGACUCAGCGGGGUGGCCGAGGGCUCGCUGGCCUCAGCCACACAGGGGUCUUGUGGCCGCUGCCUGAUCGAACUGCCCUCCUCCCUGGUCUCAUGGAUCUGAGAGGCAGACCCAGCUUUUGUGAAUGUCGACAUCGCGGGGACAGAGCGUGGCCUCUCUGUCCUCACACACAGAAGGGGACAUGGGAAUUCUUGGAGUAAAAGGACUGGUGGUACAUUUUCAAAAGCCACAAAAAUAAGCACAAACUAUGUUGCUCCGUGGUUCUUAUUGUUGAGCCUUCCUCUCCACGUGUGUGCAGGCCCCUGUGUGGGAGAUCCAGGCUUUUUAACCUGGAUGUUCCUUGGGAACCUGACAUGUAAAGUUCUCUUUUACUGUUUUUGCUCAUUCUUUGCACUGUAAUGUAGUAAUGAAAGUGAAUGGAAAAAGAGCAUUUAAAAACUUAGCUAAUGACUCAACAAAAAUUACAAAGUAUGCAAAGAAACAGUAAGUGUGGUUCAUUCACAGGAAAAUGAAAUGGACAGAAACUGUCAGCAAGGGAGCACAGACAUUAGGGUUACUAGAAAAAUACUUAAUGUCAGCUGUUUUAAAGGUGUAGGCCCAUAGAGGCAAAGGGGACCAGGGAACUGUGUGUCUCAACAAAGAGAAUAUUAGUAAGGAAAUAGAAAUUAUAAGAAGUAACCAAAUAGAAAUUCUAGAGCAGAAAAGUACUAUGACUGAAAGGAAAAGUUCACCAGAGGGCUCAGUAGCAGAUGUGAACAGCAGAAGAAAAAAAGUCUUCUUGGAGAUAGGCCUAAUGGCAUUCCCUAGUCUGAGGAGCAGAAAGAAAGACGACUGAAGAAUGCACAGAACUUAGGGCCAGAUGGACACUAUAACAUGCAUAUUAUGGCAUUCCAGGGGGAGA